rnacentral:rRNA from 1 species
UCCAUGAAGCUGGAUUCGCUAGUAAUCGCGCAUCAGCCACGGCGCGGUGAAUACGUUCCCGGGCCUUGUACACACCGCCCGUCAAGCCAUGAAAGCCGGGGGUACCUGAAGUGCGUAACCGCGAGGAGCGCCCUAGGGUAAAACUGGUGAUUGGGGCUAAGUCGUAACAAGGUAUC